rnacentral:rRNA from 1 species
UAAGGGCGCACGGUGGAUGCCUUGGCACUAGAAGCCGAUGAAGGACGUUACUAACGACGAUAUGCUUUGGGGAGCUGUAAGUAAGCUUUGAUCCAGAGAUUUCCGAAUGGGGAAACCCAGCAUGAGUUAUGUCAUGUUAUCGAUAUGUGAAUACAUAGCAUAUCAGAAGGCACACCCGGAGAACUGAAACAUCUUAGUACCCGGAGGAAGAGAAAGAAAAUUCGAUUCCCUUAGUAGCGGCGAGCGAAACG